rnacentral:siRNA from 1 species
AAGUGCCACCGCAACAUAGGCCC